rnacentral:rRNA from 1 species
AUUGAACGCUGGCGGCAUGCCUUACACAUGCAAGUCGAACGGUAACAGGUCUUCGGAUGCUGACGAGUGGCGAACGGGUGAGUAAUGCAUCGGAACGUGCCCAGUUGUGGGGGAUAACUGCUCGAAAGAGCAGCUAAUACCGCAUACGACCUGAGGGGGAAAGCGGGGGAUCGCAAGACCUCGCGCAAUUGGAGAGGCCGAUGUCAGAGUAGGUAGUUGGUGGGGUAAAGGCCUACCAAGCCGACGAUCUGUAGUUGGUCUGAGAGGACGACCAGCCACACUGGGACUGAGACACGGCCCAGACUCCUACGGGAGGCAGCAGUGGGGAAUUUUGGACAAUGGGCGCAAGCCUGAUCCAGCAAUGCCGCGUGCAGGAAGAAGGCCUUCGGGUUGUAAACUGCUUUUGUCAGGGAAGAAAUCCUCUGGGUUAAUACCCCGGGGGGAUGACGGUACCUGAAGAAUAAGCACCGGCUAACUACGUGCCAGCCGCCGCCGUAAGAC